GAUGAACGCUGGCGGCGUGCCUAAUACAUGCAAGUCGAGCGAACAGACGAGGAGCUUGCUCCUCUGACGUUAGCGGCGGACGGGUGAGUAACACGUGGAUAACCUACCUAUAAGACUGGGAUAACUUCGGGAAACCGGAGCUAAUACCGGAUAAUAUAUUGAACCGCAUGGUUCAAUAGUGAAAGACGGUUUUGCUGUCACUUAUAGAUUGAUCCGCGCCGCAUUAGCUAGUUGGUAAGUUAACGGCUUACCAAGGCAACGAUGCGUAUCCGACCUGAGAGGGUGAUCGGCCACACUGGAACUGAGACACGGUCCAGACUCCUACGGGAGGCAGCAGUAGGGAAUCUUCCGCAAUGGGCGAAAGCCUGACGGAGCAACGCCGCGUGAGUGAUGAAGGUCUUCGGAUCGUAAAACUCUGUUAUUAGGGAAGAACAAAUGUGUAAGUAACUAUGCACGUCUUGACGGUACCUAAUCAGAAAGCCACGGCUAACUACGUG
rnacentral:rRNA from 1 species